rfam:Jatropha curcas cultivar GZQX0401 scaffold1160_1, whole genome shotgun sequence.
AAGACAUGGCAGGGGCAUUUUCAUUGGAGAUCUUUUAAUCUUUCCUAGGCUUCGCAUAAAGUUUCAUCUUCCUUCAUCCGAAAUUUGGAUACUUCCUCCCUUAGCCU